AAUAUAAGGAAUGAAGCUAAAAGAUAGAGGAUUGAAGAGAGUAGCAAGGCUUCUACCGUCAUGGAGAACACCUGCGAUCUCUUUCAAACCAGACCCUAAACGCAGGGUAGAUAUGAAGACUUGAGAGUCUGAGAAUAUAUGAAAUCUAAGGAGGCUUAAUUCCUUAGCCUUGAGAAGAACUGAGCAAAUCAUCAAAGCUCCAACCAUGAGUGAAGAUCCCACCAACACUAGAGAAACAUCCUUUGCAUCUUGACAGUUCCAGACAAUUUCACAAAGGAAAGACAUUAAAGUCUCAAGGGUCAUCAUGGCCAAGAGGUCAGUAUCAAAGAUUGCUGAAAAAAGAGCUAGUGAGGUCAUAGUUUCUGCAUCUGAGAUUAUCUUCUUCAACACAAAGUCCCCUGUAACAACGCCACUCAAACCAACGAGAACAUCCUCAUAACGAGGUAGCAGAGUGCUAACAGGGAGUUCAUCAUCCUCAUACAGAGGUAAACUGGAUCUCAUCCAAAGAGUUAAAGAGAGAGUAACAUCCUCACACUGAGGUAAAUAGAGUUUCAACAGGCAGACAUCACAACGAACUUUCCUCAAAAACGAUUUGUUCCAAAGAGGUACAUAGACAAUACCUUCACAAGGCUUGUUGGAGAGGUACGAUGGUCUAGGAGAAGCAGCACUCCCAAUGGAAUUAAUCGCUAGAUCUGAGAGAGGAGACUUGAAAUCCCAAGCUUGGGUAAGUGCUCCGAGAGAGACGCUAUGGAAGUCGCUAGAGAACGAGGCCAAAGGCCGAAGACGAUGAACAAGGACGAAUAACGAGUCUGGAGGAUCUGGUGGUUCAGGUGGGAUGAUGGAAGUGAGAGUUUCAAACGCUACCGAAAGAAGCUUAGAUGGUGGGGGAUCGGGAGGAGGUCGGCACCGCGACGGAGGAGGGGCCUUCACCAUCAACACCAUGGAGGAGGAGGACAGAUUCUUCAGAAAAAGGAGGUCUUGGCGUCAGAUCUGGAACGGCGGAGCUCCAUGCCUAGGGAGUCGGGCCUGGGAGCUUUUCUCUGCUGAAACUUUUUAAAUACUCGUGAUAGUUAACAUACGAAUUCUGAUCCAAAACGAAUAUUUUAAGUGGAGGUGUACGAGUUGCCAAAUAAAACAAAAAUGUUCUGAUGGAGAAAGAAGGCACUAUACCAUAGUUGAUCUUGAGGGGGGAAAAAAAAAAAGAAAAUGAACAAGAAAAUGCAAAUGAAAUUUUGAUAUAAUUAUUUUCGGGUCUCUUUUCCUUAGCUUUAUAUGCAAGAAUAUGGAACUCAACGGAGGAGAGUAGUCUUUGGGUAUGUUCAGUCCACAUUCUCUUUUAUUUUGGAAUUUUUCGUUACUAUAAUCAAAUCCAAUAGAAUAUGUUUCGAAUUUUUGGUUACUGUAAUAAAAACAACAAUGGAAUAUAUUCACCAGACGAUCAUGAUCGAAGCAUGGCUCUUAUAUGUUUCUCUAUGUUUCCACUAUGAGCCACUCAUAUUCUCACUUUUCCACUCUUUUCAUCCACAGGAAUCCCCCACGCUAGCUAUUAUAAGGUCAUAUUCAUAGACUCGUACGUGGGGUUCCCUGGUCCAACGAAUCUCAACAAUGCCAACUCUUGUUAUGUGAAAAUUAGCUGAUCAAUAAAGUAACUCGCGAUAAAUAUAGUUUUAUGUUUAAACGAUGGCGCCAGUUUUUUUUUCACAACGGAUGCAUCGUGUGAUUCAUAAAAAGGAAAUUUAUCCAAAAUGUUUAAUAUUAUAUAAAUCUUGUAGUGGUAGAGAAUGAAGUCGGUGAUAUCCAUAGAAUGGGCUCCAACAGAAGCAAAGCCUGACCACCCAGUAGGUGAGUUACUUUUAACUGUAUUAAUGAUAUUACUAACACGAUGGAAAGACAAUUUAUAAUCUCUUACAGUGGUUUCAAAUAAAGUUACAAAAGUUCAGAAGUCAAAAAUUAAAUAUUUUGUUAAAAAUCAGAGGAAUAUUUUUUUUGUCAACUAUUUCUUUCAUUCAAAUAACUUAAAACACAAAGUUUUCAACAAUCAUACAUUCAAGGCUAGCCUUUGCCAAAGAAACAACCUGAACAUAAUCAAUAUAAGGAAUGAAGCUAAAAGAUAGAGGAUUGAAGAGAGUAGCAAGGCUUCUACCGUCAUGGAGAACACCUGCGAUCUCUUUCAAACCAGACCCUAAACGCAGGGUAGAUAUGAAGACUUGAGAGUCUGAGAAUAUAUGAAAUCUAAGGAGGCUUAAUUCCUUAGCCUUGAGAAGAACUGAGCAAAUCAUCAAAGCUCCAACCAUGAGUGAAGAUCCCACCAACACUAGAGAAACAUCCUUUGCAUCUUGACAGUUCCAGACAAUUUCACAAAGGAAAGACAUUAAAGUCUCAAGGGUCAUCAUGGCCAAGAGGUCAGUAUCAAAGAUUGCUGAAAAAAGAGCUAGUGAGGUCAUAGUUUCUGCAUCUGAGAUUAUCUUCUUCAACACAAAGUCCCCUGUAACAACGCCACUCAAACCAACGAGAACAUCCUCAUAACGAGGUAGCAGAGUGCUAACAGGGAGUUCAUCAUCCUCAUACAGAGGUAAACUGGAUCUCAUCCAAAGAGUUAAAGAGAGAGUAACAUCCUCACACUGAGGUAAAUAGAGUUUCAACAGGCAGACAUCACAACGAACUUUCCUCAAAAACGAUUUGUUCCAAAGAGGUACAUAGACAAUACCUUCACAAGGCUUGUUGGAGAGGUACGAUGGUCUAGGAGAAGCAGCACUCCCAAUGGAAUUAAUCGCUAGAUCUGAGAGAGGAGACUUGAAAUCCCAAGCUUGGGUAAGUGCUCCGAGAGAGACGCUAUGGAAGUCGCUAGAGAACGAGGCCAAAGGCCGAAGACGAUGAACAAGGACGAAUAACGAGUCUGGAGGAUCUGGUGGUUCAGGUGGGAUGAUGGAAGUGAGAGUUUCAAACGCUACCGAAAGAAGCUUAGAUGGUGGGGGAUCGGGAGGAGGUCGGCACCGCGACGGAGGAGGGGCCUUCACCAUCAACACCAUGGAGGAGGAGGACAGAUUCUUCAGAAAAAGGAGGUCUUGGCGUCAGAUCUGGAACGGCGGAGCUCCAUGCCUAGGGAGUCGGGCCUGGGAGCUUUUCUCUGCUGAAACUUUUUAAAUACUCGUGAUAGUUAAC
rnacentral:lncRNA from 1 species